rnacentral:sRNA from 1 species
UGAUUCGUAAAUCUAGAAUAAUCUAGAU